CGCAAGAGCAAGGAUACAGGUGGUGCAUGGUUGUCGUCAGCUCGUGUCGUGAGAUGUUGGGUUAAGUCCCGCAACGAGCGCAACCCUUGUUGUUAAUUGCUAACAGGUUAAGCUGAGCACUUUAGCGAGACAGCCUAGGUUAACUAGGAGGAAGGUGGGGAUGACGUCAAAUCAUCAUGCCCCUUACGUUUAGGGCUACACACGUGCUACAAUGGUGAGAACAGAGAGAAGCAAGCUAGUGAUAGUGAGCAAAACUUAUAAAACUCAUCUCAGUUCGGAUCGCAGGCUGAAACUCGCCUGUAUGAAGAUGGAGUUGCUAGUAAUCGCGAAUCAGAAUGUCGCGGUGAAUACGUUCCCGGGUCUUGUACACACCGCCCGUCACACCAUGAGAGUUGGCAACACCCGAAACCUGUGGGCUAACCAUAUAGGAGGCAGCAGUCUAAGGUGGGGUCAGUGAUUGGGGUGAAGUCGUAACAAGGUAGCCGUAGGAGAACCUGCGGUUGGAUCACCUC
rnacentral:rRNA from 1 species